AAAUCUGGCUCUUUCAGAGUCCGAGUUGUAAUUUGAAGAAGGUAUCUUUGGGUCUGGCUCUUGUCUAUGUUUCUUGGAACAGAACGUCACAGAGGGUGAGAAUCCCGUGCGAUGAGAUGAUCCAGGCCUAUGUAAAGUUCCUUCGAAGAGUCGAGUUGUUUGGGAAUGCAGCUCUAAGUGGGUGGUAAAUUCCAUCUAAAGCUAAAUAUUGGCGAGAGACCGAUAGCGAACAAGUACAGUGAUGGAAAGAUGAAAAGAACUUUGAAAAGAGAGUGAAAAAGUACGUGAAAUUGUUGAAAGGGAAGGGCUUGAGAUCAGACUUGGUAUUUUGUAUGUUACUUCUUCGGGGGUGGCCUCUACAGUUUAUCGGGCCAGCAUCAGUUUGGGCGGUAGGAGAAUUGCGUUGGAAUGUGGCACGGCUUCGGUUGUGUGUUAUAGCCUUCGUCGAUACUGCCAGCCUAGACUGAGGACUGCGGUUUAUACCUAGGAUGUUGGCAUAAUGAUCUUAAGUCGCCCGU
rnacentral:rRNA from 1 species